rnacentral:rRNA from 1 species
GCUUAGAGAGGGGUCAAUGUCCUAUCAGCUAGUUGGUAAGGUAAUGGCUUACCAAGGCUAAGACGGGCAGCCGGCCUGAGAGGGUGGUCGGCCACACUGGGACUGAGACACUGCCCAGACUCCUACGGGAGGCUGCAGUCGAGAAUCUUUCGCAAUGCCCGAAAGGGUGACGAAGCGACGCCGCGUGUGGGAAGAAGGCCUUCGGGUUGUAAACCACUGUCGGGAGUUAAGAAAUGCAAGGGUGUUAAUAGCAUCCUUGCUUGACUAAGGCUCCGGAGGAAGCCACGGCUAACUCUGUGCCAGCAGCCGCGGUAAUACAGAGGCGGCAAGCGUUGUUCGGAAUUAUUGGGCGUAAAGAGCACGUAGGCGGCUUUGUAAGUCAGUUGUGAAAGCCUUCCGCUUAACGGAAGAACAGCAUCUGAUACUGCAAGGCUAGAGUGCGGAAGGG